GCACCCGUGGUGUACGGCACACACAGUCACCUUGUAGAACUGCCACCCCGUUGGUAGUGAUUGAUUCCGGGGUUUGAUUCCCCGCUGGUGCA